rnacentral:rRNA from 1 species
GACGAACCGUCCAAACGUUAUUCGGAAUCACUGGGCUUAAAGGGCGCGUAGGCGGGUCAUCAAGUCGGGGGUGAAAUCUUUCAGCUCAACUGGAAAAGAGCUUCCGAUACUGGUGGUCUCGAGGGAGGUAGGGGUCGAUGGAACUUCCGGUGGAGCGGUGAAAUGCGUAGAUAUCGGAAGGAACGCCGGUGGCGAAAGCGAUCGACUGGACCUUUUCUGACGCUGAGGCGCGAAAGCCAGGGGAGCAAACGGG